CCUACGGGCGGCUGCAGUGAGGAAUAUUGGUCAAUGGGAGAGAUCCUGAACCAGCCAAGCCGCGUGAGGGAAGACGGCCCUAUGGGUUGUAAACCUCUUUUGUCGGAGAACAAAACCCGGGACGAGUCCCUGACUGCGUGUAUCCGAAGAAAAAGCAUCGGCUAACUCCGUGCCAGCAGCCGCGGUAAUACGGAGGAUGCGAGCGUUAUCCGGAUUUAUUGGGUUUAAAGGGUGCGUAGGCGGUCUGUUAAGUCAGCGGUAAAAUUGCGGGGCUCAACCCCGUCGAGCCGUUGAAACUGGCAGACUUGAGUUGGCGAGAAGUACGCGGAAUGCGCGGUGUAGCGGUGAAAUGCGUAGAUAUCGCGCAGAACUCCGAUUGCGAAGGCAGCAUACCGGCGCCAGACUGACGCUGAGGCACGAAAGCGUGGGGAUCGAACAGGAUUAGAUACCCCAGUAGUC
rnacentral:rRNA from 1 species